rnacentral:lncRNA from 1 species
CACAACUCAAUUGGCUUCUCUUCUAUUUCUCCAACAAAAUCCUGGGCACACAUAGCUCUGUCGGGACCAUCUAUCCUGUAUAUGAAUUGAAUGUGGGGCUAGAGGCCAGGUGCUCCUCCACUACUUGCAAGAGUUCCAUGCUCUAGAUAUUGGGCCUCAGGUCUUUACAAAGAUGAUGUGCUUGUAAAAUGAGCCAAGAGCAAAAUAGCUUUUGACCUGGCAGCCCCUCCUGGGAGUCUGCCCAUCUGCAGCCAGAGACAAGAGUGAUGCCAACCUGCUCCAAUGUUUUCAUCCAUACCAGGGCCAAGCCCUGAUGACCAGGCAGCCAGUAAGAGUUCCAGGAGGCACAAGGCAGGAAGUUGGGGGAUUAAGAGGCGCAGUGUGGAGAAUGCUCUGGGGACAUGAGCCUUGGUUUAUUGGUACAACUGUUCAUUUAUUCCCCCAAGGACCAAAUGAGCUAAGUAUGGCUGAGCAAAGACUGUGGAGCCAAGCUUCCAGGGUUCAACUUUGGUCUCUGUGCUUUGGAAAAUUCCAUAAGCUUUCUUUUCCAGUUUCCCCUUUUUACCCAUGCGGUUGAUGUGAGGAUUAACCUAGCUUGUAGCAAGUGCCCUAUAAAUAUUAUUAUAAACAUUAUUAUUCAACAAUGUACCUCUGCCAAGAACAAAAUUCCCCUACUGCUCUUUAAUGUACUCUAGCCUGUCUCCCGGGAAAGAUGGUAGUGAGCUCCCUAGAGACAGGGACCAUAUCUUAUUUGUCUCUCUGAACCCAGAGUGCCUUUGCAAAAUUAAUUCACUUACUAAAUUAAUAGAUCAGGAAAACAUGUGGCUUUCAAAAGACUGUCAUUAUAAGUACAUCUUUUUUAAAAAUUUUUGGUUAAUUUCUUUUUUCUUUUUUAAUAUUUUUAGUUGUAGAUGGACACAAUAGCUUUAUUUUAUGUGUUUGUUUUUAUGUGGUGCUGAGGAUUGAACCCAGUGCUUCACCCAUGCUAGGCAAAC